AGAUGUGAGGGUGAUCUGGCUACAACAUCUGUCAUCCCAUUGGUCAUUAGGGUUGAUUCAGCUGAGCUGGCUGGGUAGGCAGGUGUCCCCUUUCUCCCUCACCAUUCCCUGUGCGUCCCUCCCCGAGCUGUGCUCUGGAUAGAAGAGGACAGGCCUUCCCCCCAAGGAGAGGACAGGUCUUCAGUCAAGGGUAUAUGAGUAACUGAGCUCUCCUGCUAGAACCUCCAAAGAAGCUCUCAAAAUUUUAGGUGUUGCAAACCUCCUAAAAUAAUUAAAACCUACAAGUUUACAAGGUGUUGUUGUUGUU
rnacentral:snRNA from 1 species